rnacentral:rRNA from 1 species
GAUGAACGCUGGCGGCGUGCCUAACACAUGCAAGUCGAGCGAAGCACUUUGCUUAGAUUCUUCGGAUGAAGAGGAUUGUGACUGAGCGGCGGACGGGUGAGUAACGCGUGGGUAACCUGCCUCAUACAGGGGGAUAACAGUUAGAAAUGACUGCUAAUACCGCAUAAGACCACAGCACCGCAUGGUGCGGGGGUAAAAACUCCGGUGGUAUGAGAUGGACCCGCGUCUGAUUAGCUAGUUGGUAAGGUAACGGCUUACCAAGGCGACGAUCAGUAGCCGACCUGAGAGGGUGACCGGCCACAUUGGGACUGAGACACGGCCCAAACUCCUACGGGAGGCAGCAGUGGGGAAUAUUGCACAAUGGGGGAAACCCUGAUGCAGCGACGCCGCGUGAGCGAAGAAGUAUUUCGGUAUGUAAAGCUCUAUCAGCAGGGAAGAAAAUGACGGUACCUGACUAAGAAGCACCGGCUAAAUACGUGCCAGCAGCCGCGGUAAUACGUAUGGUGCAAGCGUUAUCCGGAUUUACUGGGUGUAAAGGGAGCGUAGACGGCUGUGUAAGUCUGAAGUGAAAGCCCGGGGCUCAACCCCGGGACUGCUUUGGAAACUAUGCAGCUAGAGUGUCGGAGAGGUAAGUGGAAUUCCCAGUGUAGCGGUGAAAUGCGUAGAUAUUGGGAGGAACACCAGUGGCGAAGGCGGCUUACUGGAC